rnacentral:rRNA from 1 species
GACGAACGCUGGCGGCGUGCUUAACACAUGCAAGUCGAACGGAAAGGCCUUUUCGGAGGUACUCGAGUGGCGAACGGGUGAGUAAAACGUGGGUGAUCUGCCCUGCACUCUGGGAUAAGCCUGGGAAACUGGGUCUAAUACCGGAUAGGACCGCACUUUAGUGUGUGUGGUGGAAAGUUUUUUCGGUGUAGGAUGAGCCCGCGGCCUAUCAGCUUGUUGGUGGGGUAAUGGCCUACCAAGGCGGCGACGGGUAGCCGGACUGAGAGGUUGGUCGGCCACAUUGGGACUGAGAUACGGCCCAGACUCCUACGGGAGGCAGCAGUGGGGAAUAUUGCACAAGGGGCGCAAGCCUGAUGCAGCGACGCCGCGUGGGGGAUGACGGCCUUCGGGUUGUAAACUCCUUUCGCCAGGGACGAAGCGUUUUGUGACGGUACCUGGAGAAGAAGCACCGGCUAACUACGUG